rnacentral:misc_RNA from 1 species
AUUGAUAUUCCAAAGCUAGAGGAACCCUCAGAUGUUUCAGUCAUAUCAGAUAAGUUCAAGCAAUGGAGAUCAAGAAGCCCAUCUCAGGCACUAAACAAGACGACUCAGAAUAAAACAGUCACAGAGUCUAUACUGUAAGUCUGAUGAAUGUGGAUGUGAAAUGGACAUAUGAACAUAUCGAACUCCCUCACACUGGCUGUAAUAUUUUGCAGCAAAUUUGAGAGGGAAUUCAAUGCUGAGCUUCAGAGUCUGGGUCCAAUCUUAAGCAGUAAUUCUCAAGCAGAACCAUAUUUGACUCAUCUUGCACAGUGGAUUCUUGGCAUCAGAAAUGACUUGGACGAAAUUUUAGUUCUUGGCAUCAGAAAUGACCGAUAAAAUUUUAGUAUUUUUUUUGUCCAAUCAUUGAUUGCUAUUAGUUGGUGUAAAUACAUUUUCCACUUCGCAUUUUAUACUGCAGGUUUGCCAUUUAUUUGGUAUGCAGAAAACGGAAUGCAUCGGGGAAUUGUUUUCUGUGUAGUCUGUGGUACGCUGGAUGUGCAUCUUGGGUUUCAGCAGCUGGGGGCGAACAAAUCGACUGAAUUUAUUUAAAUUGAAAAUUUUGUUUCU